GCCGGUGUAGCUCAGUUGGUAGAGCAACUGAUUUGUAAUCAGUGGGUCGGGGGUUCAAGUCCUCUCACCGGCUCCA
rnacentral:tRNA from 1 species